rnacentral:rRNA from 1 species
UGGGGGCACCCUGAUCAGCCAUGCCGCGUGUGUGAAGAAGGCCCUCGGGUUGUAAAGCACUUUCAGCGAGGAAGAACGCCUAGCGGUUAAUACCCGCUAGGAAAGACAUCACUCGCAGAAGAAGCACCGGCUAACUCCGUGCCAGCAGCCGCGGUAAUACGGAGGGUGCAAGCGUUAAUCGGAAUUACUGGGCGUAAAGCGCGCGUAGGUGGCUUGAUAAGCCGGUUGUGAAAGCCCCGGGCUCAACCUGGGAACGGCAUCCGGAACUGUCAAGCUAGAGUGCAGGAGAGGAAGGUAGAAUUCCCGGUGUAGCGGUGAAAUGCGUAGAGAUCGGGAGGAAUACCAGUGGCGAAGGCGGCCUUCUGGACUGACACUGACACUGAGGUGCGAAAGCGUGGGUAGCAAACAGGAUUAGAUACCCUGGUAGUCCACGCCGUAAACGAUGUCGACCAGCCGUUGGGUGCCUAGCGCACUUUGUGGCGAAGUUAACGCGAUAAGUCGACCGCCUGGGGAGUACGGCCGCAAGGUUAAAACUCAAAUGAAUUGACGGGGGCCCGCACAAGCGGUGGAGCAUGUGGUUUAAUUCGAUGCAACGCGAAGAACCUUACCUACUCUUGACAUCCUGCGAAUUUGGUAGAGAUACCUUAGUGCCUUCGGGAACGCAGAGACAGGUGCUGCAUGGCUGUCGUCAGCUCGUGUUGUGAAAUGUUGGGGUUAAGUCCCGUAACGAGCGCAACCCUUGUCCUUAUUUGCCAGCGCGUAAUGGCGGGAACUCUAAGGAGACUGCCGGUGACAAACCGGAGGAAGGGUGGGGGACGACGUCAAGUCAUCAUGGCCCUUA